rnacentral:rRNA from 1 species
CCUACGGGAGGCAGCAGUGAGGAAUAUUGGUCAAUGGACGCAAGUCUGAACCAGCCAUGCCGCGUGCAGGAAGACGGCUCUAUGAGUUGUAAACUGCUUUUGUACGAGGGUAAACGCAGAUACGCGUAUCUGUCUGAAAGUAUCGUACGAAUAAGGAUCGACUAACUCCGUGCCAGCAGCCGCGGUAAUACGGAGGAUUCAAGCGUUAUCCGGAUUUAUUGGGUUUAAAGGGUGCGUAGGCGGUCGGAUAAGUUAGAGGUGAAAUCCCGAGGCUCAACUUCGGAAUUGCCUCUGAUACUGUUCGGCGAGAGAGUAGUUGCGGUAGGCGGAAUGUAUGGUGUAGCGGUGAAAUGCUUAGAGAUCAUACAGAACACCGAUUGCGAAGGCAGCUUACCAAGCUACUUCUGACGUUGAGGCACGAAAGCGUGGGGAGCAAACAGGAUUAGAUACCCGGGUAGUC